CCGGAUAGAGAUGAUGGUCUUCCUCUGAUGUCUUCAAGCCGGCCAUACAUAAUAGAAUAGAUAGGCGAAGCAGUCAAUAGCAGUCUGUUCUCGCCUAUCGAUAGAUAGCAGGUUGCUUCCAAGCUCAAACCAUUUGAAACUGAAUUGAGACUUUUUUCUUGUUAUUGAUAGAGUGCUCCGCCCCUGUCAAAUAAAGUAUAGGGAGAGAGCUGGAAGGGAAGAGAGAAGGAAAAAGAGCAAAGGAUUUACAAGUCUAAUGGGAGAAGAAUGGCUGACACGUUGACUGCCUUCGAUACUAGAAAAAUAACCCAAGC
rnacentral:lncRNA from 1 species